CAAGACGUAGCUAAAACCAAAAGCACUCAGCUUACACCUGAGAGAUGUCUAACAUAGGACCGUCUUGA
ensembl:Mt_tRNA